rnacentral:misc_RNA from 1 species
GAUGAAGAACGCAGCGAAAUGCGAUAAGUAAUGUGAAUUGCAGAAUUCAGUGAAUCAUCGAAUCUUUGAACGCACAUUGCGCCCGCCAGAAUACUGGCGGGCAUGCCUGUUCGAGCGUCAUUUCAACCAUCAAGCCCCCGGCUUGUGUUGGGGACCUGCGGCUGCCGCAGGCCCUGAAAAGCAGUGGCGGGCUCGCUGUCACACCGAGCGUAGUAGCAUACAUCUCGCUCUGGACGUGCUGCGGGUUCCGGCCGUUAAACCACCUUCAUAACCCAAGGUUGACCUCGGAUCAGGUAGGAAGACCCGCUGAACUUAAGCAUAUCAAUAAGCGGAGGA